GAAAGAAGGGAAAAGAGGGAUUUGACCAGUCGUGUCAACUGGGGCUUCACGUUUGAAGAAUAGUUUCUCAAGCAACUGCUCUCAGAAGAAACACUGGUUCUCAAUGUGAAAUCAGGUCGCUGCCUGCUUGCCAGUGGUGACCAAAUACACAGAUGAGGGUGGCUCCCCUGUCCCUCAGAAAUUUCUUGUCUACCAGAGUCGUGGGUGAAGCACACCAGGUGUUUCCAGAGUUACCAUAUUUGCAGAAGUUUCAGAAAGCCCAUAGUAAAGCCUCUGCUUUCACCACUUCAAGCCCAUUAAAGGAUUGAGGAAUAUUGAAUGCUGUGGGCAAUGAAGAACAAAUGUGAUCCAUUUAGAUGAGUUGCAGGUAUCAUUUCAGACGUCUAAAAGUAGGAAAAAAAAAUCUUUUUACUCUGCAAUGACAACAGCAAUCUCUAUAUAUUCUCAAGAAUUGUCAACAACUGGCCUCCAGUCUAGCUUGAAGAUUUUGGUAACCCCACCAGCUACCAGCAGGUCUGGACUGCCUAAGGCACAGAUUGGUGGGAGGAUACAAAACACCAAUGAAACAGCAUUCUUUGACCUGUUUACACUUCCACUUCUGAAUGUCUGCUACUGUGAAUAA
rnacentral:lncRNA from 1 species